rnacentral:tRNA from 1 species
ACUUUCAAAGGAUAACAGAUCAAUCC